ensembl:lncRNA novel transcript
AGAAGAGCCAAGGAUUCUUCAAAGAUUCCUGGGCACUGAGAAAACAAACUCCUGAGAUUGCCAUAUGAACCCAGCCCAGCCAGCCUACUAGAGAAUGAGAGACCACAUGGGGAAGAGCUUACCAGCUUUGUCAGGAUAAAUUUUCCUCUUCGAUAGUUCUUAUAGAUUACCCUAGAAGUCUGAGAGAGAAUAAUGAGACAGAAGUUUGGAUCAAGAAACCAUUUAUUCAUUUGUCCAGCAUUUGACCAUCCAAAUUGUACAACUUUCAAAAAUCCCUAUGGCUGGAAAAGGCUUGGAGGUUUCUCUCUCCAUUACGAUUCAUGCACCUGCUUCCUCUUCUGCAACCACCCCUAACUUUCCUGCAGAACUACCAUUAGAUAAAUAAAGUUUAUUUUAUUUCAAGAUUUUUAAAGACAGG